AGCACAAUUACUUUUGCACCAACCUAAUAGAAAGCUUUGACCUAGAGGAAGGUACUUUAGGAGACUGCCAAUCAUCAGCAUGCUUUCUGUUUCCUUUUCUCUGCUUAUCUAUGUAAGGUUUUAUUCAAAGUGGGUACUCCUGGUUUAUGGUGGGAAUAUGAGUAGGGUUGUGGAGAAAAAGGAUACAGAGGCUUCUAACCCCACGAGUAAGUCUGCUGCCAGUGGUAGCCAUACAGUGAGAAUACGAUACAAUUAGAGUCCAUCAGCAGAGUGCUUUAUUAGUCCCUGCCUUGGCUGGGUCACGUGUAAGAUGAUCAACUUCUUGCUGCUUUUUUCUUUAAAAAAGUUAAUCUGAACUUGGCAACUAUGUUUUUGUUCGUGGAAACCUGGUUAUCCAGCCCGUUGGCACAGCUGGUUUGGGUUUUGAUUCCCAGAACUCAGUCUACAGGCCUUUCCAGCCUCUCUCCAGCAUAGAUUGCAGCGCUCUGCAAGGUGCAAGUCCUGAAAACACAUCAUUUGGAUUUCCUCUCUCUGGUUAACUGUCACAGCCAGCUGCUCUCAAUCCCUGGAUUCAUUUCCUCUUGAAUUCUGUGUAAUGUUCUCCUUAAUCAUUCAAUGUAAAAAGAAGAAAAACUUUUUCCUGGUCUUUUUUUUUUUUUUAAAUGGGAGAGGCUUUACUGAUUUUCUUUUCAAUUUGACCAAUAAUUCCCUUAUGCCCACGGAUACUCCUUAACAGUUGUUCUCUUGCUGUUGUCAUUUUAUAUUAAUGUUCAGAGAAUACUUAAUGGAAUCUUCCUUCAAUAACUACUCAUAUUGGCUCUUAUUUGGUUUGCAAUUUUGAAACCAAAGAUCUAUGGAUUUUAAACCAUACACUCCUCAGGCAAGAGGUUAUUAAACAAUCAUUGGUGACUGUAUUUAAUGUUAAACUUAUAAUUCAGAAAGAGGUAGACUGGGUGAAUUGAAAAAUACCUCAGAGACUCAGAAUUAGGUUUCCAAAAAGCAAUCAUCUGCACUUUUUUUUCAAAUGAAAAUAGUAUCAUAUCAGGAUUAAUUCAAGUUAAUAGCUAAGAAAAUAUCAAUCUAGGUACUGUACAUAGCUUCAAUGCCCAGUUUCAUUUUGCUACAAGAAACUAUAUAUUUUAUUGGACACGCACACAAAAAGCUUGUCAUAUUACUCAUCACCCCUAGAAGCAGUUCAUAGAGCAGCAAAGUAAUGUUGCUAACAAGAAGCAGUUUUCUGUAGUAGACAGCAAUUCUUAUCCUGUCAUGGAUUUAUCUUAUUAUUGACAGCAAAUUUGGCUGGCAUUUACCAGAAUUGAUGCUUUACCCAGCCCCAUACCAGAGCUGGAACAUAAAAUAGGCUUAUACCACACUUAAUGUCACUCACGUAUUUCCUCUGUUCAAAGUCACAUCCCUUUUCUGAUCUGAAUGAUGAAGGAGGACGUUUAAAACAUAGACAUCUCUAUGCUUUAUUAUAGAGUAGUUUGUAAGUACUGUUUACAGUGCCAACACAUGAGGAGGCAGCAGCAACUACUUUAAUAUGAUUAAAGGUAGCAGUAUUUGCUACAACAAAUGAGUUCUAACAUUGGCCACCAGAGUUGUUUUUUUUUUUUCUUGGUGUCUGGCUUACUUUCUACUUAAUUUGUUCAGGAAAACACCAGGUCAAUUUGUAUUAUAAGAAUUUGCCUAGCUCACAAAUGAUCCCAUAAGGAGUGGGCAUUCUAUUUUUUCUAGUUCUGAUGUUUCUGUAAUCUUUUUAAGACAUGUUGUAUCAUAAAGCUUAAUGUGCAUCUCAUUUCUUUAAAGUCGCUUGAGGGAUGAGCUAUCAAUGAGAAUCUGGAGAUGUAUAUAGAAGCAGUAACCAUUAAAGGUUGUGUGAGUAACUGGGCUCAGGGUAUGCAAAUAGGCAAGGAGUGGGAUGCGCCCCUCAGUGAGCAAGUUCGUGGUUGUCUGAAGCUACUGCGACGGGGAGCCUCUUGGGGUCAGUGGAGAGGCUGAUGAAGCAGAGACAACUCCAGAAAAGAUGAUGCCUGCCACUGAGGCCAUCGGGAUGAUGGUGGGAGGAGGAACAGAGUCCACCUUACAAAAGAGGAGGAAGAAAUAGGGCCUCUUGAAAGGAAAAGUCUUUCUAGCUGGCCAUUGACUGUGACUUGGAAAAAGGCACAGGACCAAGAAAAGUAGAAGAAAAAUUUGAAGAGUACAAAAAAGAAUGUGUGACAGUUUGCUUUAAGUAUGUUUCAUGGAAAUAGCACAUCGCUGGAUCUAACGGCAAUAAGAAGUCUGCAGGGUGUAUAAUGGGAUUUUUUUUGAGUCUCCCAGAUUUAAAUCUAAAUCUUGGCUCCACCACUUACUGGCCAUGUGACCUCACGCAAAUAAAUGAUUACUUCUCCAAAACUCAGUUUCCUUAUUUGUGAAAUGCGACAAUAAUAGCAUCAUAUUAAUUGGAACUCUGAAUUGUAAUAAAAAUGAGGUUACAAAACAAAGGAAAAUUUCUGUGCAUAGGAAGCAAUAAAAACCAAACCAUGAAAAAAGGAUGGGCUAAUGCUGCCUUUUAUUUACCCUUCCUACAGCCCAGCUUUUUCUUGCCUCAUACCUCGAAUUGUCUGUCUCCAGAAAGGGCCUGCCUCAUGCUCCCUGUUACAUUCUAAAAUCUCAGGAAAGAAUUCUUCAUCUCCCUGGGGCUCAUUUGAACCCCAUCAUUCAAGUUGGGGAAGAAGCAUUUCCUAAGGAAGGGGGAGAGAAUGCUGGGAGACAAAGCAGUCCACCCUGCAGGAUGAAGUGAGGCCCACAGGUGAUAGACAUAAAAGCCUCUCCACAAGAUGGCAGCUGGUGGGACCUCGCCAACCAGGGCCCUCACGGUAUGGCUUCGGGCUGGUGACCAGGGAAUUCAUGGUGGGGCCUGGUAAGUGAGCGGCAGGUGGCAGAAUGGCAGGCCAGCAGGUAGGAGCUCCAUACAGGUCAGUCCAGCAGAGGCCUAAAGGGCUGAAUGGGGAAACCAGGCGAUUCCCACCCACACAAAACAUCCUCCAGUCUCACUGUGAUCAAGCUCCCACCCCAUUGGCAGGCCCUGUAAGUUAUCUUCCAAAAAAAACCCAAGUCAGUUUUCUCUUAUCCCUUCUCACUGCUGCCCCCAGCCUCAUCUAAGCCACCUGUACUGGCCUUCAGCUGGCCGAUAAUGAAAUCAUUCUAACAGUCCCCCUGGCUUCACUGCUGCCCUGCUCUGAUCCAUUCUCCAUACAAGAUGGAAUGGUGUCGUGAAAAAACAUAUAUUAGAUCAUGUCUGCCUAAUCUCAUUGUACCCAAAAUCACAUCCUCAGAACUUCCAGCAGCCUGGAAGGCCCUGCUGGGCCCGCCACUGGCUCUGUCUCCAGCCACAUCUGUGCCGUGCCCCCAUGGCUGCCUUUGCACAGCAUCCAGGACACACCACAAUCUUUCCUACCUCCCAGUGCUCUCACUGCCCAUUUCCUCUGCCUGGAACACUGUUCUGCCUCUUCAUCCCACGGCAGCCUCACCCUCCCUUUGCAUUUUAUCACUGUGUUGGUGAGCCCUUCCUUGACCUCCCUUCUAAAGCAGCCUCUGCUCGUGCCUCCACCCUUCCCCACUGGAGCCCCUGUUAAUUCCUUCAUAGAAUUUAUCUCACAACACAUUAUAUUGAUUUGUUUAUUGUCUGCCUUUGCUAUGACAGGGCACGCGUUGUGAGGGAAAGGACCAUAUUUUUCUUCACUGCUCUGCCUCUUGUGCCUCACCAGCCUGUGGCACAUAGUAGGUGCUCAACUAAACAUGUUUGUGGAAUGAAGAGAGAUGAACUAGCCAGCAUAGUGGUGAGUGGAGAGGGAGUACUUUGGGAUAAAUUGUGUGUCCCCCAAAAAGAUAAUGUUGAA
rnacentral:lncRNA from 1 species